AAGCUUCUGCACAGGAAAGGGAAACAACCAACAAUACAAAAAGACAACCAACUGAAUGGGAGAAAAUAUAUACAAAUGGUAUAUUCAAUAAGGGGUUA